CGCGCAGGCGGUCGAUUUAGUCGUGUGUGAAAGCCCCCGGCUCAACUGGGGAGGGUCACGCGAUACUGAUCGACUCGAAGGCAGGAGAGGGUAGUGGAAUUCCCGGUGUAGUGGUGAAAUGCGUAGAUAUCGGGAGGAACACCAGUGGCGAAGGCGACUACCUGGCCUGUUCUUGACGCUGAGGCGCGAAAGCUAGGGAGCAAACG
rnacentral:rRNA from 1 species